rnacentral:rRNA from 1 species
GGACCAAGGAGUCUAGCAUGUGCGCGAGUCAUUGGGACUCUAGCGAAACCUAAAGGCGUAAUGAAAGUGAAGGUCCGCCGAGCGCGGACAGAGGGAGGAUGGGCGGUCUCGAGCGACCGCCCCGCACUCCCGGGGCGUCUCAUUCUCAUCGCGAGAAGAGGCGCACCAAGAGCGUACACGCUGGGACCCGAAAGAUGGUGAACUAUGCCUGGUCAGGACGAAGUCAGGGGAAACCCUGAUGGAGGUCCGUAGCGAUUCUGACGUGCAAAUCGAUCGUCGGAACUGGGUAUAGGGGCGAAAGACUAAUCGAACCAUCUAGUAGCUGGUUCCCUCCGAAGUUUCCCUCAGGAUAGCUGGCGCUCGCAUCUCGCGAGUCUCAUUCGGUAAAGCGAAUGAUUAGAGGCAUUGGGGUCGAAACGGCCUCAACCUAUUCUCAAACUUUAAAUGGGUGAGAUCUCCGGCUUGCUUGAACUGUGAAGCCGCGAGAUAUCGGAUCAGAGUGCCAAGUGGGCCACUUUUGGUAAGCAGAACUGGCGCUGUGGGAUGAACCAAACGCAGAGUUAAAGCGCCUAAAUCGACGCUUAUGGGAUACCAUGAAAGGCGUUGGUAACUUAAGACAGCAGGACGGUGGCCAUGGAAGUCGGA